UGGCCGAGGGGUCGUCCCACCCUCCGGCCACCGCCUGGACACCCUGAGCUCAACUCAUCACCAAGUUCCUCCCAAGUUGCUUUAAAACCUCUCGACGCUUCUCCGCCUCAACUCUCCCUCCACCACAGGUCAGACAAUCCCCAACGUGGUUGCUUAUCAGAAUUCCUGGAGUGCUUCUGAAAAACAGUAAGUGCAGAUUUAUUUAUGUCUUGGUGGAUUAAAAUAUGGCUUGAAU
rnacentral:lncRNA from 1 species